GGAUUAUGGUCAUCUUGGUCUUGCUCUUAAGGAAAGUGAAGAAAGAAGUUAGGUAACUUCCCAGUAUCACACAAUUGAUCACUGUUGAAAGAUGAUCUGAACUCCUAGAAGCAGGGAGCUGCUAUGCCAGAGACUCGAUCCCCUCACUGGAAAUCCCAUGUAUGCUUGAGAGAACAGUAGAGGCUUCACUUCUGAGGGAGCUGUUACACAAAAAUGCACGUGGCGGGACUUAAGCACGACCACGUAAGAGAACAGGGAAGUUUUAUAGGCUGCUAACCACAAAAUGAAGAGGCAAGCAUUUGUAAACCACGAUCACAAGCACAUCAGUCUUGGAUAAGUAUCUAUGUCUUUCAACUUUCUCAU